rnacentral:rRNA from 1 species
CAAUAGCGUAUAUUAAAGUUGUUGCGGUUAAAAAGCUCGUAGUUGGAUUUCUGCUGAGGACGACCGGUCCGCCCUCCGGGUGAGCAUCUGGUUCGGCCUUGGCAUCUUCUUGGUGAACGUAUCUGCACUUGACUGUGUGGUGCGGUACCCAGGACUUUUACUUUGAGGAAAAUAGAGUGUUCAAAGCAGGCUUAUGCCGUUGAAUAUAUUAGCAUGGAAUAAUAAGAUAUGACUUUGGUCUAUUUUGUUGGUUUGCACUCCAAAGUAAUGAUUAAUAGGGAUAGUUGGGGGUAUUCGUAUUCAAGUGUCAGAGGUGAAAUUCUUGGAUUUCUGGAAGACGAACUACUGCGAAAGCAUUUACCAAGGAUGUUUUCAUUAAUCAAGAACGAAAGUUAGGGGAUCGAAGACGAUCAGAUACCGU